CGCAGGCUCCAGCUGGCAGGGGUCCUCUCUCGUUUGCGACACGGACGUCGGCCCAUUCCGAGUGCUAUUGCUUCCCGGCCAUAAUUUUGCGUGUCGGCGCGCGCGAAACGUGGAAGUAAAUUGCACCCGGAAUUAUUUAGUGUCAGGUUUCUUCCAGCAAAACAGAAGAACGGACGUUGCCUACGGUCUGCAGCGCGGUGCGCUGCGGCGAAGACGGUGGUGGGUGGCCGCAUUUUCUUUUUUCGUCUUCCGUAUGUUCUCGUCCCUACUGCCGUGUCACGCCGGGCUUUCGACGCUCGACAAGCUAAUCAUCGGGGACUAGUCCCAUCGCCCAUGCCAGCGCGAUGACGCUUGUCAUGGUGAGUACGGGCUUUCUGGUUACUUUCCUCAUUUAUCAAAUGCCCCCCCCCCCCCUUUUUUUUUUUGAAGUUUCAGAUCUGCAACCUGUGCCUCGGCCCCUGGAACAUAUCCCUGCACCCGGCCGUGUCUCGCACAGAUGACAUUCAGCACCUGUCUGUCGUCUAGCAACUGAUUGUGUCUUCACUUCUGUUCCUGCCUCACUGCUAUUUGUGUCCUGCUGAAUGAAGAUUCUUGCAAUCCAUGCUUUGCAGAACGUCCAUUGCACUCCGCAUCCUUUGGUGCCAGACGCACGCGACGGAAUUUCCUGCAGCCGGCCGUGUCUCGCACAGAUGAUGUUCAGCACCUGUCGUCCCACGGCUGAUCGCGUCACUUCUGUUCCUGCCUUUCUGCUAUUUGUGUCCUGCUGAAUGAAGAUGCCUGAAAUCCAUGCCUUGCGAGAACGUCCAUUGCACUCCGCAUCCUUUGGUGCCAGACGCACGCGACGGAAUUUCCUGCAGCCGGGCGUGUUUCGCACAGAUGAUGUUCAGCACCUGUCGUCCCACGGCUGAUCGCGUCACAUCUGUUCCUGCCUCACUGCUAUUGGUGUCCUGCUGAAUGAAGAUGCCUGAAAUCCAUGCCGCGCGAGAACGUCCAUUGCACUCCGCAUCCUUUGGUGCCAGACGCACGCGACGGAAUUUCCUGCAGCCGGCCGUGUCUCGCACCGAUGAUGUUCAGCACCUGUCGUCCCACGGCUGAUCGCGUCACUUCUGUUCCUGCCUUUCUGCUAUUGGUGUCCUGCUGAAUAAAGAUGCCUGCAAUCCAUGCCCUGCAGAACGUCCAUUACACUCUGCAACCAUUGUCUUGACAUCUGCCGCCCAUCAAGGUCUGUCCCACCAGCGUAGUAGUCAAUGACACCAAGUGCAGACCGUAGGGAGGCAGGCGUUUCUCUCGCCACUCAUCGCAAUGCUGCUACCGAAGACGUCGUGCUGCAGGAAACGUUCUUCGCUGCCUCGACGAGGCCACACAACUAUGAAGUCCCAAGAAACAGCACACAGUCGCGUUACAUGAAUGCUCAUCUAACAUCCCGGUUUGAGUUGUUCGUUCCGACCAUAUAGCAGUAUGACGGCCACUCGAUGAAGUCGCACGCUAUUCAGUGGCUGUGACCGUAUGACGUGAGUACCGAAAAAUCCCAGGUAACAUGCUGUUCUAGCUCAUCGUAGUGGUACACUGCUCAGAAUCUAGCAUUGGGUUGAUCUGGGGAUUCUUGCUUCUUAUGCUCAUUGACAUUCUGUGCUUUUGUAAUGGUACACCGAUGCUGCUUUGCGUUGCCGAAUUGCGUGUGCGUGUGCGCGAGCACAUUUGUGUGUGUGUGUGUGUGUGUGUGUGUGUGUGUGUGUGUGUGUGUGUGUGUGUGUGUGUGUGUGUGUGUGUGUGCGUGUGCGUGUGUGUGUGUGUGUGUGUGUGUGCGUGUGCGUGUGUGUGUGUGCGCGCACAUUUGUGUGUGUGUGUGUGCUGCGCUCAUUUCAUCUGGUAGUUAAUGUCAUUCUGGCUAGGGUGUAUUUCCAAUUCGUCCACGAAUUGUUUGACUGGUUUCUUGCAGUUGGUUACAUCCUUCAGUAAGCUCAUCGAUGUUCAGCAGUGAUGGUUGCGAAUUGUUUCGGAAACUCUUGCAACGCUUUCACUGUACAACUCGUCCACUCGUAUGGACGAGUUGUGGCACCUAGUUUCUUGGCAAAUUCUUUGGUAUUCCAAGGGAUUUCUGUUGGUAUCUUUCCCUGAUUCACAUAUUCUUGGUGUUUCAAGCGACGCAUCAUGGACAAUGCAAAACAGCAUCAAUGAACCAUAACAAAAAGCACAUGGUGUAAAUUAAAGGCAUUAAAUCUUAUUAUUAUGAGCACAUCAUUUGAAAUCUGGUGCUGGCAUGGCACCAAGCUCUUAUAUUUUUUACCUGUCUGCUGUCAUGAAUGAUGCUGAUACUAGAGCAGUGUACCACUCUCAAGGCAGGUUCUGGAUCACUCUUCAGACAACACUACCACACAUGCCUGUUGUGUUCAACAGACUGUUUUGCCACAGUUCCUUUUGUCCUACAUGAGUGUUCACUGCCCUGUGUAAAUUUAGCUACCUGUGUUUAUUUACUGUACAUUUCUAUGACAUGUAUUUGCUCGCUGAUAUUCCCUGGAACUGAAUAAAAUAGCAAGGAUGUUUUUUCAUAGUA